rnacentral:rRNA from 1 species
UGGGGAAUCUUGGACAAUGGGCGCAAGCCUGAUCCAGCCAUGCCGCGUGAGUGAAGAAGGCCUUCGGGUUGUAAAGCUCUUUUACCAGGGACGAUAAUGACGGUACCUGGAGAAUAAGCCCCGGCAAACUUCGUGCCAGCAGCCGCGGUAAUACGAAGGGGGCUAGCGUUGUUCGGAAUUACUGGGCGUAAAGCGCACGUAGGCGGAUUGUUAAGUCAGAGGUGAAAUCCCGGAGCUCAACUUCGGAACUGCCUUUGAUACUGGCAAUCUCGAGUCCGGAAGAGGUUAGUGGAAUUCCCAGUGUAGAGGUGAAAUUCGUAGAUAUUGGGAAGAACACCAGUGGCGAAGGCGGCUAACUGGUCCGGUACUGACGCUGAGGUGCGAAAGCGUGGGGAGCAAACAGGAUUAGAUACCCUUGUAGUCCCUGAGCGGGCUGGCAAGGCGCAU